AUUGAACGCUGGCGGCAGGCUUAACACAUGCAAGUCGAGCGGAGCGAGGGUGCUUGCACCUUAGCUUAGCGGCGGACGGGUGAGUAAUGCUUAGGAAUCUGCCUAUUAGUGGGGGACAACAUUCCGAAAGGAAUGCUAAUACCGCAUACGCCCUACGGGGGAAAGCAGGGGAUCUUCGGACCUUGCGCUAAUAGAUGAGCCUAAGUCGGAUUAGCUAGUUGGUGGGGUAAAGGCCUACCAAGGCGACGAUCUGUAGCGGGUCUGAGAGGAUGAUCGGCCACGCUGGAACUGAGACACGGUCCAGACUCCUACGGGAGGCAGCAGUGGGGAAUAUUGCGCAAUGGGGGAAACCCUGACGCAGCAACGCCGCGUGAGUGAGGAAGGACUUCGGUCUGUAAAGCUCUGUUAGGUCGGGAGGAAGGUUCGCUGGCUAAUAUCCAGCGGAACUGACGUUACCGACAGAAUAAGCACCGGCUAACUCCGUGCCAGCCGCCGCCGUAACAC
rnacentral:rRNA from 1 species